rnacentral:lncRNA from 1 species
CUGUGUGGCAUACCAGUGUCUCCACACUCCUUGGUUAAGAGGACAACCAACGUAUAUGUCACACAAUGACCUAAUCUCGAUAAUGCUGUCGUCCUAGUAACAACAUAUCAUUUGGUCGCGAACAAGUUUAAGGACUCAAAGAUAAAUCCUUCUUUAUCAUAACAUAAGUCCUAAGGACUUCAUCAUAUAAGAGUUCAUUUGAAGAUGAAAUGAUGAAUAAUGCCAAAUAACACUUUAUUAAUUUGUCAAUUCAUUUACAAAAUUCAAUCAUCAAUAUGCUGACGAUUGACAUUUAGGAUACAUAUCCCAACACUGGACUUCAGGUAGGUUGGGGAGGUGGCCAGGAAGGGGUCCAACGGCGGCAGGCCGGU